AGUGAACGCUGGCGGUAGGCCUAACACAUGCAAGUCGAACGGCAGCACAGUAAGAGCUUGCUCUUACGGGUGGCGAGUGGCGGACGGGUGAGGAAUACAUCGGAAUCUACUUUUUCGUGGGGGAUAACGUAGGGAAACUUACGCUAAUACCGCAUACGACCUACGGGUGAAAGCAGGGGAUCUUCGGACCUUGCGCGAUUGAAUGAGCCGAUGUCGGAUUAGCUAGUUGGCGGGGUAAAGGCCCACCAAGGCGACGAUCCGUAGCUGGUCUGAGAGGAUGAUCAGCCACACUGGAACUGAGACACGGUCCAGACUCCUACGGGAGGCAGCAGUGGGGAAUAUUGGACAAUGGGCGCAAGCCUGAUCCAGCCAUGCCGCGUGGGUGAAGAAGGCCUUCGGGUUGUAAAGCCCUUUUGUUGGGGAAGAAAUCCAGCCGGCUAAUACCUGGUUGGGAUGACGGUACCCAAAGAGUAAGCACCGGCUAACUUCGUG
rnacentral:rRNA from 1 species